rnacentral:rRNA from 1 species
CAAGAGCGUAUGUAAAAGUUGUUGCAGUUAAAAAGCUCGUAGUUGAACCUUGGGUUUGGUUGGCCGGUCCGCUUUUUUGCGAGUACUGGAUUCAACCGAGCCUUUCCUUCUGGCUAACCAGUCGUUUCGGCGGCUGGCGAACCAGGAUUUUUACUUUGAGAAAAUUAGAGUGUUCAAAGCAGGCAUUAGCUUGAAUAUAUUAGCAUGGAAUAAUAGAAUAGGACGUUAUGGUUCUAUUUUGUUGGUUUCUAGGACCAUCGUAAUGAUUAAUAGGGACGGUCGGGGGCAUCAGUAUUCAGUUGUCAGAGGUGAAAUUCUUGGAUUUACUGAAGACUAACUACUGCGAAAGCAUUUGCCAAGGACGUCUUCAUUAA